AUUGAACGCUGGCGGCAUGCUUUACACACGCAAGUCGAACGGUAACAGGGUGCUUGCACCGCUGACGAGUGGCGAACGGGUGAGUAAUGCGUCGGAACGUGCCGAGUAGUGGGGGAUAACGCAGCGAAAGUUGUGCUAAUACCGCAUACGUACUGAGGUAGAAAGUGGGGGACCUUCGGGCCGCACGCCAUUCGAGCGGCCGACGUCUGAUUAGCUAGUAGGUGGGGUAAAGGCUCACCUAGGCGACGAUCAGUAGCGGGUCUGAGAGGAUGAUCCGCCACACUGGGACUGAGACACGGCCCAGACUCCUACGGGAGGCAGCAGUGGGGAAUUUUGGACAAUGGGAGAAAGCCUGAUCCAGCCAUGCCGCGUGUCUGAAGAAGGCCUUCGGGUUGUAAAGGACUUUUGUCAGGGAGGAAAUCCCUAGUGCUAAUAACACUGGGGGAUGACAGUACCUGAAGAAUAAGCACCGGCUAACUACGUGCCAGCCGCCGCCGUAA
rnacentral:rRNA from 1 species